AUUGAACGCUGGCGGCAGGCUUAACACAUGCAAGUCGAGCGGAGAUGAGGUGCUUGCACCUUAUCUUAGCGGCGGACGGGUGAGUAAUGCUUAGGAAUCUGCCUAUUAGUGGGGGACAACAUUCCGAAAGGAAUGCUAAUACCGCAUACGCCCUACGGGGGAAAGCAGGGGAUCUUCGGACCUUGCGCUAAUAGAUGAGCCUAAGUCGGAUUAGCUAGUUGGUGGGGUAAAGGCCUAACAAGGCGACGAUCUGUAGCGGGUCUGAGAGGAUGGUCCGCCACACUGGGACUGAGACAGGGCACAGCCUCCUAUGGGAGGAAGCAGUGGGGAAUAUUGGACCAUGGGCGGAAGCCUGAUCCAGCCAUGCCGCGUGUGUGAAGAAGGCCUUUUGGUUGUAAAGCACUUUAAGCGAGGAGGAGGCUACCUGGAUUAAUACUCUAGGAUAGUGGACGUUACUCGCAGAAUAAGCACCGGCUAACUCUGUGCCAGCCGCCGCCGUAACAC
rnacentral:rRNA from 1 species